AAAAGAGAGUAGUAAACAACCUUUAAUAUCAAAUGAAAAUUUUAAAAAAGAGAAUAAUUUACUAUUUUUAAGAAAAAAAUCAAUGUUAGAAAAUUAAACUAUUUGUUUAAAGGUGAAUACUUUGCAAUCUUCAAAAUACAAUAAUAGGAUUAGAAUAAUUCACUCACUUUUAAAAUAGGAUAAGAACAAUAAGUUAACACUCUUGUCAAAUUUUCAAGGAUAUAAAUCUCAAAGAAAGAAAUCUUUAAUACACUCUUGUAUCACUUGAAAAGACUAAAAAAUCACUCAAAGAUGAUAAUAUAUUGAACUAAAAUAGCUACUACCAAAGACAAGAAGAUUAAAAAUUCUUGAAAUAAGACUAACGACUAAAGGUAUUGACAAGAGUAAAGAA
rnacentral:lncRNA from 1 species